rnacentral:rRNA from 1 species
AUUGAACGCUGGCGGCAGGCUUAACACAUGCAAGUCGAGCGGGGGGAGGUAGCUUGCUACCUAACCUAGCGGCGGACGGGUGAGUAAUGCUUAGGAAUCUGCCUAUUAGUGGGGGACAACAUUUCGAAAGGGAUGCUAAUACCGCAUACGCCCUAAGGGGGAAAGCAGGGGAUCUUCGGACCUUGCGCUAAUAGAUGAGCCUAAGUCGGAUUAGCUAGUUGGUGGGGUAAAGGCCUACCAAGGCGACGAUCUGUAGCGGGUCUGAGAGGAUGAUCCGCCACACUGGGACUGAGACACGGCCCAGACUCCUACGGGAGGCAGCAGUGGGGAAUAUUGGACAAUGGGAGGAACCCUGAUCCAGCCAUGCCGCGUGUGUGAAGAAGGCCUUUUGGUUGUAAAGCACUUUAAGCGAGGAGGAGGCUACUGGUAUUAAUACUACUGGAUAGUGGACGUUACUCGCAGAAUAAGCACCGGCUAACUCUGUGCCAGCAGCCGCAGUAAGAC